rnacentral:rRNA from 1 species
CAGCAGCCGCGGUAAUACAGAGGGUGCGAGCGUUAAUCGGAUUUACUGGGCGUAAAGCGUGCGUAGGCGGCUUUUUAAGUCGGAUGUGAAAUCCCUGAGCUUAACUUAGGAAUUGCAUUCGAUACUGGGAAGCUAGAGUAUGGGAGAGGAUGGUAGAAUUCCAGGUGUAGCGGUGAAAUGCGUAGAGAUCUGGAGGAAUACCGAUGGCGAAGGCAGCCAUCUGGCCUAAUACUGACGCUGAGGUACGAAAGCAUGGGGAGCAAACAGGAUUAGAUACCCCUGUAGUCCUGUCUCUUAUACA